UGGUGAUGAUGAUCCUGAAAUCUUUUCUCCCAGAGUAAGAUCUACUACUGUGCAGGGGACUUUGAGCACAAACAUGGAUGUGAGACAAAUAUGGAUGACCAUCUGCUUAGUCAUGUAUAUCUCUUGCCUUCUAUUUAGACCUAAACUUUUUGAUUGCAUCCAGAAGAUGAACUUACAUUGUCCUUGAACCUUUCUAUCUUUCUUUCCAAUAUGACCACAAUGAACAAAUUUCCUUUUUUCUUCUCUACGCUAUGAUAUUUGACUUUUUAAACUGACUGUGAAGGGCAGGUGGCCUUACUUGCUUCGUUGGCAUGCAACCUAUGACCUAAUACAGUAAUGGUAAUAAGGGGUCAUGACCCCUACGAUUUAGUUGUAUUAGUGUUUGUGUCUGAGUCUUAUAAUCUUGGGUAGAAACAUUUCUUUAAUAUUUAACUUUCUCAUCCUCGAAUGUGCUAUUACUGUGCCUGUACAAAAAUGUGUGCUAAAAUUAUGUGUCAGUUUGUAAAUUCCCCAAUUCAUGACUUGUGAUUCACUAUUUUAUACUGUAAUUUGCUAUUGUUUGUUUCUUAUACAAUGACUCUGAUAUUCAUAUUUUGUAAUGAGAGUUCAGAAAUAAAUGUUCUACUUUUAUAGCUAUAUACUUGUAUAGGUCUGUUAGAUUAAAUGUAUGUUUCUGUAAUCAUGCAAUAUGAGAAUCGCUGAUCCUUUAUUUUUCAUACCUGUAUACUUUUGUGUGGUAUGCACUUUCUCAUGCUACCAUACUAAUCCAGGAGUCUAAGCCCAUGUAAAUAUGGAGCAGGCUUCAUUUUGCCAGACUGUGAAGACUUUAUAUGUAGAUGCUCAUGUAGCCUUAUUAGGCAUGGAUGAAAUGAUGUUCCUGUUAUUUUUAUCCAAACCCAUCUAACAGGAUGUCUUGUUAUGAUUAUGUGGCACAUUAAAUUGAAAACUUUGCCUCUACAGAAAAUUUCUUGUAUCUAUGGGAUAAACUUAAUCCUAUUGCCUAAUUGUAGCCACUAAUAAUGUACUUAAGGUUUUAAUUUAAUAUCCAUUAGUGAAAUUGUCCUGGCUUAAUUUUUUUUAUUAAACCCUUAUUACAUUAGUACUCGCUUGGUUUUCAUGUUACAGAGUUCUUUCUUGUAGGUCUUGAUUUAGUUCACAAGUUUCCAAGAGACUCAUGUAACAAUUCUGCCAAGAUCGCAAGUGUUUUAAAUGAGCUAGCUAACAAAUGUAUCUAACAUGCUCUUAACAGUAGGACAUUUUGUCCAAAGUCUGUCCGUCUGCUGGGACUGGUAGGAAAAUGCCCAGAUGCCUGUCUUUGUUGUCAUUUCUCUUUCCUAUAACCUAGGACAGUGUUGUAUGUCUAGGUGAUAUUUUCAUAGAAUCUAAGUUUGUAUAUUGUAUUUUGUACUAUGAUCAAUUUUAUUAUUUUCAUUGGGUGACUGGGUUGACCAGGAUAUUAUCUAUCUUUCUUUCCAUCCAUUUGUCUCCUCAUAAACUUUAAAAUUAUUUUUAUUUUUUUGAAAAAAAUUAUUAAUGACGGACCCAAUUAUUUGCAGUAAUUUUGGUAAAUUCAGCCACACAUUUCUUUUUACUUACUGCGUAUUUUUGGUAAUGGCAAUUAGAUUAUAUUAAUAUUAUCAUCAAUAUUAUUAAGAACCAGGAGAAAAUUAUCCAGGCCAGAAAAGAUUUCAACACUAGUUUCUCUACUUAUUUAUGUACUGGUUUAUUAACUGCUCUGCUUACCAUUUUCUGCUCUUUAACAAUGUAUGAUAGGAAGGCUUUGAACAUUUUAAAUCUCGUUCUAAAUUUCUUCCUGAUUACAAGCAUAAAAUACUUUGUUAAGAAAAUGUAUGUUCUAGAAAAUACUAGGUGGCAGUACUAUGAUUGGACACUAAAUCUGAGGAAGGCAAUAAGUUAAAUAAUAAUAAUAAUAAUUUUCUUUUAUUGGAAAAAAUAAACUUUUCUCCAAUAAUAUAUAUUGAUUAUGAUUUCUCCUCCCUCCUCUCCUCCUAGUCUUGGCCUGCAUACCCUCCCAAAUAUAUCUAUUCCCUUUCUGACUCUCAUAAGAAUUAUUAAAAAAAAGACUUCUAUGUGAUAAAAUAGGAUAGGAUAGGACAGGACAGGACAGGACAGGACAGGACAGGACAGGACAGAACAGAACAGGACAGAACAGAACAGAACAGAACAGAACAGAACAGAACAGAACAGAACAGAACAGAAUAGAAUAGAAUAGAAUAGAAUAGGUAUAUAAGAAAACAAAAACUAAUGCAUUAGAAUUGGAGGAGACAAACAAACAUAAAGAAAAGAUCCCAAGAGAAGACACAACAGUUAGAGUUGCAAUAGUUGCACACAUACUUAGAAACGCCAUAGAAUCACUAAGCUGGAAGCUAUGAUAGCUAUUUGUAGGAUCCAGUACAGACCUUUAAACCCUGUGUAUACAAUCUCAGGUUCUGUGAUUUCAUAUGAUCUUUGAUCAAGUUGAUUUAGAGGGCUUUGUUUCCUUGGUGUCCCAGAUCCUCUUCCACUUUUUCUGCCUCUGUUUCCACAUGGUUACUGGAACCCUGGAGGGAGAGAUAUGAAAGAGACAUUCCACUUAGGAAUGGGUGUUCCCAGGUUUCAUAUUCAGUCUCUCAUUCAAAGGUCUCAUUCCCUGCAUAUUGUCUGACUGUUUAUCUCUACAUUUAUUUCUAUAAGCAAGAAGGAAGCUUUUCUGAAAUGACUGAGCAAGGAACUGAUCUAUGAUAAUAGCAGCAUGAUUUUUGUUUGUUUAGCUUUUUUUGGAAGAGUAGUAUUUGGUUUUACCCUAUGUGCCUUGGAUAUCUACUCAGGUCCUUUGUCACCCAAGCAGUGUUGGGUAUGGGUUCUUCCUCAUGGAGUGGUCCUUAAGUCAAAUCAGCCAUUAAUUUGUUGUUCUCUCAAGAUUUGUCCUACAUUGUCCUAGCAUAUAUUGCAAGCAGGAUACUAUUAAAGAUCAAAGGUCUUGUGGCUGUUUUAAUGUUAACAUUUCGAUUUUGUUAGUGUUCAGAGUACCUUUCUGUACCAAGGACGCUAGUGUAUAUGGGUGAAGGCUCUAUAUAGGGACCAGCAUGACUUCUCUAUUUCAACGAGUUGUGUAGGUAUUGUCCUCAGCAAAAGGGCCUUGUUGUCAGUUUCUGGAGAGAAACCUAUCAUCUUGGUAACAUCCUGAAUUGUUUGAGAAUUCCCAUGGGACUGCUUUGCCAAAUAGUCAAUUAAAUGUAAACCAAUUUUAGAAAUGGAAGCUUCAUUUGGUGACAAGAGAUAGCUAGCCAGUGUAGAUUCUUGUUCCUCAUUUGGUGAUUUUAUUUAUGUUACCUUCACAUAUGUAUAUAUAUUUAAAAGCUUUGAUUGUAUUAGCUUUCCAUAGUACUUUUCAAUAUCAACUGUCUCAUACAUAUUCUCUCUUACAUCCCUCUCUUCCCUUGCCCACCACACUUGAUCCUUGUGUUUUAGCACCUCCUUUCAACAAUAACUAUUUUAUUUCCUUAUACUAACAAGAACUUUACUUUGUAUACUACCUUGUCACUUAACCUCUGUAGGGUUAUCAUUGAAAUAUAUAUAUAUAUAUAUAUGUACAUAUAAAUGGAACACUUUUCUAGUUUCAUGACUUCAUUUCUUGACAGCUGAAUUGAUCUAUUGUGUAAAUAUAUCAUUUUUUCUUUAUGAAAAAUAUAUCAUAUUUUUCUAUAUGUCAUUUAUUCUUCUCUUCAUGGACAUGUAGGCUGUUUCCAGUUUCUGACUACUUUGACUUAAGCACCAAUAAAUAUGGCUGAGCAGAUCUCUGUGGUAGAAUUAAGUGACUUUGGUGUAUAGACCCAAGAGUGGGAAUAAUAGCUGUAUCUUGGAGAAGAUUGUUCCUCUUCUUCAUGAGGAAUCACCACACUGAUUUCCAUAGAGGCUGUAGUUCACAUUUCCAUCAACAAUGGAUCAGUUGUUCCACUGAUCCAUGUCUUUGUCAUCAUGAGCUUGUUUUAUUGAUGUUAUCCAUUCUGAUCGGUAUAAAUAAAAUAUCAAAGUAAUUUUGAUUUUCAUUUUCUGUUGGCUAAGGAUGUUGAACAUUUACUUAAGUGUUUCUCAGCCAUUUGAGCUUUUUGUGUGAGAACUUUCUGUUUAUAUCUGUAUCCCAUUUGUAAUUUGAUUAUUUGUUUUCUUGAUAUAUAUAUAUAUAUAAUUUUUUUAAAUUAUAUAUUUUGGAUAUUUCUCCUCUAUCAGAUGUGUACUUGGGAACAAUCUUUUCUCAUUCUGUAGGGAGUUACUUUUGAUGAGUGAUGGUGUCCUUUGCUGUGUAGAAGCUUCUAGAUUUUAUGUAGAAGCUUCACAUUUAUUAAUUGUGGAUCUUAGUGUCUUUAACAACAAUGUUCUAAUCAGAAAGUUUUUUCCUGUGCCAAUGUAGUCAAAGCUAUUUCCCACUUGCUUUUCUGUCAGGUCUAAUGUAUCUGGUUUUAAGUUGAGUUUAUUGAUCCAUAUUGACUAGAGUUUUAUGCAGAAUGAUAAGGACAGAUCUAUUUAUAUUCUUUUACAUACAACCAUUCAGUUUGUUAAACCAGCAUCAUUUGUUAAAGACAUCGUAAUUUUUUUAGGUUUAUUUCUGGCUUAUUUAUCAAAAAUCAGGUGUUCAUAGUUGCGUGAAUUCUUGUCUAGGUCUUCAAUUCUAUUGCAUUGAUCAAGCACAUUUCUUUUUGUUUUAAUACAACACUAUAUACCAUGAUUAUACCCAUUGUUCAUACUGUCUUUUUAAUGUAUCUUAUAAAUUAAUUUUGGGAAUUUUAAACAUAUGUGCAACUCAUUUUUACUAUAUUUAUUCCUUAUUCUGACCCCUAUCUCCUCCUAUAUAUCCACAUCAAUCCCUGCUAAUUGCAACUCCUAUUCAUUAAUAAUUGAGUCCAGGUUGUGCUAUGAAUCUCCAUAUAAUUAUAUGGAGAGGGAUCUUCGAAUUGUGUUAAAUGUGUAAGGUCCACAGACUUAAACUCCCUUGACUCUGCCUCUAUUAUAAUUGCCUUUUUAAUAAGAUGUUCUGUGUUUCUAACUUCUUCCUGUUUGUUGAAGAGGAUAGAAAACAUGAAAAGAAGAAUAUGCUUAAAUGUAUCUCAAUAAUUUCUCACUGUAAUUAAAGAUAUAAUAUGAAAACAAGAAGAUUAUAUUUAUCUUCUCAUAUAAGAAUUUUGAUUUGAGUAUAGAUGUUUUACCAUAGUUAAAAAAUAGUACAUUUCCCCAAAAGUUUUACAACAAAGCCAAUGCAACAACUGUAAUAUAUCAAACAUAAAAUCUACUUAUUAGAACAUUGAAAUAUAUCAUACGUUUAUGAUCAUUUAGCUUUUUCUUCAUUUAAAUAUAUUAAAUUGCCUUAGUACUUAGUUCACCACUAAUUUUCUGUGCAUUUCAAUAAAACCUUUGACAUAUCAACUUUGAAUACAAUUUAGUCACUACACACUACCAUCAUUUUGUCAUAUUUAUAUUUAUACUCACAAUUUUAAUAUCUAUAUUUUAUGCAAGUACUUAUGACCAAUGUGCUAAAUUCAUAGUUCUCUAGAGAAAAAGAUACAUAAUAUAGCUAUAUAGGAUAUAUUGUUAUAUAAAAUGCUAAUCUGUAAAAGUUAUAUAGACAUGAAUGACAUUCAGUGGCAAUUUAGAGACAUGGAGAACCUGUCAAAGAAAAGGGCCAUCUCCAGAGCUGAAGUUGUACUGGGGGCUUAACAACUGAGCCUCUGGAGAGUCCCUGAUAAGUUACAGAAUUUACAAAUUUCCUUGAAGUAAAUAUUCUAUCACAAGGGCCAUACUCCAGCCAGGGAACAAUAGAACUCAGGCACAAUAGAAAAAAGCCUCAACCUAGCAGUGUAAAGGAAGAAACCAUCCCAUUGUUCCUAGAAUCAGGUUUUUAUUGAUCUCUUAGAGAAUCUUUGAGCAAGUAUACAAUUGAGUAGACUUACUGAACAGCUAGGAGUUCCUGGCACUCAGUUUGGGAAGGCUAAGCCGGUUCCAUGACAGACUUCAAAUGGGCAGGUAAGGACACUAGGCCUAAAUCUCUGUUUCUAAGAACUGGGCAAUUACAGGUAAGUCAAGGCUUCAGAUGCUGCCCUGUCACCUGGCAUUAGGAAAGGACAAUGGGUCAACAGCAGUUUCCAGACUUCCUCAGCUACUUCCUCAGCAAGUUUCCAGAUCUCCCCAUACAAGUUUCCAGUCCCCAUACUCCAGUAAUGGAAUGUCCAUAGAGAUGGGCCCAACAGAUUAACAUAGAGGUCAUCUACCCUGGAAUUUCAUAAUAUGCUUUAAAUAGGGCUUGCAAACUACUUGGUCAUCUCUCUAUCUUGGUAAUGGGAGAUCCAAGCAUGCUGGACUUCUGAAGAAUAAAACACUCUUUGUGGGGUGGGGGGACAUAAAAAACAAAACCAAAAAGAAGCGAAAUCAACAACAAAGCCAUCCCAGCAGCAGGUAGUGCUGGCGCACAGUGUAAGUUGCUGUGAUUUCAUGAACAAUUAAUAUUAUGAAUUUUCUUGCAAAAUGUUCAACAAUACAGGCUUAUUACAUGUAUUCUCCAAAUGAGAAUUAUAAACUUGUAAAAGAUGCAGAUAGAAGGAAACAAGACAAAGGAAGUGGGGUAAAGGAACAGAAGGGAGGAAAGACGAAGGGCAAAAUAUAAAUGUCCAAAGAAACACUUAGGAAGUUGUACUUACGAUUCUCAGUCACAGAAAUAGGAUAUUGCAAUCAGAAGGUUUCCUUCCCAAAUUCCUUAAUAAGUAAAUUUGAUAUGUGUCAAGAAAUAUCAGCAAAAUUUGUUUCAAAAAAGGGAAAAAUUUACAAAACUUUCUGCACAAAGCAUUGAUUUCCAGUAUACAUUAUUACACUGUUUGUUUAUACUAUUACUCAGCCCUUUGUGUUUAGAAUGGGGUUAAUAAGGGAGUAUGUUUUACUGUUCUGAUUAUGUAGAUGGAGAGGAGAAGCUUCCAUUACUAACUCUUGUAAGCACAGCAGCUUUGGUGAUGCAGUCCUUAGGCACAAAGGCUUAAUGUCCUUAGAAUCAGUAUCAUUCUUUUCUGCAUGGUUCCUUAAUAAUAAACAUUUUAUGCAAAAAGAUAAACGGUAAAUUUUGCUAUAAAAUGCAUGGUUUUAGUGGGAUGGUAGAUUUUUACUUGUGUGCUUUGCUAAAAUCAUAAACGAUUGAAAGCUGAGCAAAAAAAAAAUGCAAAAUUUAGCUGAGGAUUCAUGAUGACUUCAUAUAUUCCCAACAGAAGGUAAACCGGUAACAUCUGUACCCAUGGAGUCAUUCUCAAGUCUCCUCUCUUCUGACAGUAUUUCUUGAAUGCUAUGUGAGAAUUCUUUUUGAUCUAAUGUGUGCCAAAGGAUUGCUAAAUAUUGAAUAUUGGGCCAGGCCAGCACUCAGGAGGCUGAAGCAGGUAGAUCACUGGAAGUUUCGGGCUGGCUUGUUUUUUAUAGAGAAUUCCUGGACAGACAGAGCUAUGUAUAGAAACCCUGUCUCUCACAACCAAUAUUUGUGUAUGUGUCUGUGUCUGUGUCUGUGUUUGUGUAUGUGUGUAUAUAUGAAUAUUUAUAUAUAUAUAUAUAUAUAUAUAUAAAUGGGCAUGUAUACACAAUCUCAAAUGUCACACAAGGUGUUACUGACUUGGCUUUAAAAUAUUUUCAUUAUUUUCCUUCAUAUUCUUAAAGUUCUAUUAUAAAUCUAUUAUAUUAUAUAUCACCAUUAAUUACUUUUUUCUGUGACAGAAACAAAACCCACAAAACCACCAUAGGUUCAAAAUAUGCUACAAAAUUUCAGCAUGGAGAAUGGAAAGUGGGUACAAAUUAUUUUGCUUGGCCAAUAUACUAUUUGCAAUUGCCACAUGCUUAGAAAAAGAAAAUCAGUUUUAUUCUAGGGAAGGCUCUAGGUCAAGUAGUAUUUGGCCAAUGCAAAAUGGACUUCAUAGCUUUUGUUUGUUUUGUUUUGUUUUGUUUUGUGUGUGUGGUUUUUUUUUUGUUUUUUAUCAUACAUUCUUUAUCUCAACCUCCUCAUUCUGCCAAUAUCUACUUAGUUUUAAGUAGAUCACACACAUCUGCAUUGGCUGUCAUUCCUAUCUUCAUGUACUCAUAAAGUGCACGUGUCAAGGUGACUGCUUGGCAUUGCUAUAUCGUAGGUGUGGGUCUAUGCCAUAUACAAUAGCUCUGCUUUUCAUGGCGAUGUGUAAGGUGAUAUGUAAGGGAAAUGAACUGACCAUGAUAAAUUAGGAAACAAAAAUCUGACCUCUUCUGAAGAUUUUCAGCAUGUAAAUCUAAACAAAUUCAACAUUUUAAAUGUGAUAAACCAUUACAUUUGUAUAUGAAUUAGCUUUUCCUGAAAAAUCAAUCAUGAAAAAGUUACUUAUUAAAAAUAAUAAUUCUUAUAAGAGUAUUAUACUAAAUAAUUUUUAUUAUUGAAAUACAUUAACUGUGCAUGUCAUAAGAUAAAGAGUAGAAACAAUGUGGAAUAAUUAAAUCAGAACAAAUACAUUUUCAUUUCCUGGGAAUUCAUUUUUCUGUGUUGGGGAAAUUCUAACUCACUUUAUGAAAUGCCCAAUGAAUAAUUAGGAACUGUAUUCACCUUGGUUUCCUGUAGAAGAUUGGAAAACUUUCCCCUUUGUCCUUGGGACCCACCAUCUAACCUUUGUGCUUUCUGAACAUGUAUCAGUCAUGGACCUAUGAUUCGCUGAACAGCAGCUGUCAUGACUGCCUAUUUUCCCACCAUUUUUCUUUCUGAAAAACUUCUCAUGAAAAAAAUCCAUAAAUGAAUAAAGUAUUUGAUAAUUGCUAUGAUGUUAAUAGAAAGCCAGAGUUGUAUGCUGUUUCCUAAGGAGACUGCCUUAGCAUACUUCACAUAGAAUAGAGUCCAGCCCUUUUAAAGUGAGAUGCUGCACUGCACACCAAGCAUGAAGAAUUGGCCCAUAUGUUAAUGAAUAAGAAGAUGUACAUGUAGGUAUGCGUAGUAUGAAUUGCUCCAUUAUGGACCUUGGAAUUUAUAAUGGUCCCUGUCUCAUGACUCAGUUAUUCCAGUUCAAGUAUAAGAUUUUUUAAUUAUCAUUAUGUAUAUUUUCUAUGUAUGUGGGGGUGAUAUUAUAGAACAUCUGCUAAAGAGAAAGGAAUGUGUUUGGCAUAUUCGAAAUACUAUAUAUAACACUGUGAGAAAAUGGGGCAUUGGAUGCUUCUAAAGAAGAAAAAAUGUGACUGUAAGGCAGGUAGUUUGCCAUAUGCUUCCAAAGUUAAUAAUAUUGAGUUAAAAGACAUACAGGAAUUAUUUUAGAGGUCUGAUCUUUCUCUAAGACAGAUGUGAACUCUGUGCCAGGUGCAUUUGAAGUAUGCUAACUUUAAAUAUGUGGAAAAACUGACAGAAAUCAUUAUGGUUUUUGAGAACUUAAUCCAUAAUCCCAUCUAAGAGAAUCUAAAAACGACACUGCUGGAAAUGUAUGUAUGGGAUUUUAAACAUCUUCAGGUGUCAUUUUAACAUCUUUCUACCAUCCUAGUCAGGUGUUGACUACGGCUGAGUGCAUGUAUCUGGAGAUGUCACUGGGUGAUCUGCAGAACUAUGUUGCUUGGUAGAGCAUGUAAAAUUAAAUACUGUAGAGACUCACGUUUAUCAGCCAAAUCCCUGGAUCUAAGAAGACCUUAAGGUUAUUCUUGGAAGACAGACAUGCUCGCAACUACACCACCUAAGAAAAUUCUGGAUCUUUAGAUAUGAGAAAACGUCUUCUCAACUGACUAAUAUAUCACAAGUCUUCUUACUAGCUUUCUUGUAUAUUUAUUCCCUUAAAUACACAAGCAGAGCACUGCAAACCACUUAAAAGGUAGUAAAUUAGUCUUCAUGCUACUCAGUUCUAUAAGUGACAAUUUGUGAAUAGAAAUCAGAAUUCACUAAUUUUUCUGUGUUUUUCUGUGCUGAUAAAAGAAAAAAAAGGUGCUAUUAUAAGUUCAAAGAAAUGUGUUAGGGUAGUUUCAGAUGACUAAGCUCAUAGUUUGUAUUGUGUUAUGAUGGGGUUCUGUGUGAAUAUUUAUUACCAGAAAGUGAGUGUGGCAUAGAUAUUUAGCCAUUAAGAAGUCUCACUUUCUUUCCAUUCUCAUUGCUUUGAUAUAGUCAUAUUAACCCUGUUCAAAAUAAUUUUUGUAUCCAAUAUAUAUUAUUUGCAUAUUUUCAGUGAUGAAGAAAAAAGGAGAUAUUAAUAGCGACUUUUAGAAUGGCAACCUACUAGGAUAGGCUAUAUGUUGACUAAUAAAUACUAUAUGUUAAUGUGAUGAAAACAUCUUUGAAUAUAAUAUUACAGGUAAUAUCUAGUAUGUAGAUUCAUGACUAUACAUAUAUAUGUACAAUGGAUAAUUUAUUAAUGUAAAUUUUGAUAAACAUUUAUUUAAAAUAUUGAAAUGUUAUACAAAUUGUAAAUGUAACUAGAGUCUGAUUUUUAUUAAGUCAAUGACAUCAAAACCUGACAUUUUUCAACUGUGAAAACAGUUUAUUAGGAAUGUUACUUAUCUAAUUAGUCAUUUACCAUAUGUUGGCUUCCUUACAUCCAAAUAAAUAAACAUGUGUUUGUUUGUUUGUUUUGAACUUUAUACAUGCAAGUGUUUUGCAUGCAUGUAUGUGUGUGGACCACAUGCAUGCCUAGGGCACAGAGAGGUCAUAAAGGGAUGUCAGGUUCCCUAGAACUAGAUUUACUAAUGUUUGUGAACCAUCUCUUGGGUACUGGGAGUUGAACCCACAUCCUCUGCAAGACCCUCUGUUUCUAGCCCCAGAGACAUGGUUUUGUUGAAUCUCUACAGCAAAUAGUGCAAAUCACUUAACUAUACAGAUGUUGACAAUUCUAGCCAUAACAAGAAUUUUCUGUAAUACUGACCUCAUUGUACUGUUAUUGGAAAGAAGAAAUAAGGGUACCUGAGAAGAUGUGCUUUCACAGUAUUGUUUUGAACUUUCAUCAGCAUUUCUUCCUAUGAAGCUAGAACAUAUUUUUUCAGGCACUUACACGUCCACUCUCAUAAUGUUCUCUGUGAGAUUUUGAUAUAUUUUUGAUGGUAUUUCUCAGAUGAAAUUGGUUGCAUUGUGGGUAGUAUGGCCCGAGGCUGAUGGGUUUUCUCUGUGUCAAUGAUUAGGUUGAAUAAGCUGGUUGACACUUAUAUCUUACUUGAGUUGUACUCAGUUAUAUGAUUUGUUUCAAAAGUUUGAAGUUUGUAAAGUAAGAUUGAUGAAAAUCUCUUGCCCAAAGGAGUACUCUCAGAGUAAAAAUUUAAAUAAAAUUAUAAGUAGAGUCAUAUUCUUCAAAAGACACUUUAAGCAGAAUGCUUUAUAAACAGAGGGCUCAACUUAUACAUCUGAUUUGAGCAAGUCAUUCCUAGUAUAUAAUUUUGUAUGAGGAAUAAGGCAACACAUUUCCCAGUCUCCAUGCCAUUUAAAAUUUUUGUAAUUUAAACAUGGAUUUGAGAUGCCUAAUUACAGCUUUCAUGAUAUAGCGGUCUGCUCUCCCCAGAGUUUAGGAGAAAUAAGUAGAACAUUUCCCUAUUGAUAAGCAGGUUAUAGUUAGGUGUCUAAGAAUAUAAGUAUUAUAUAUGUAUACAGACACAUUCACACACACACACACACACACACACACACACACACACACAUAUAUAUAUAUAUAUAUAUAUAUAUAUAUAUAUAUAUAUAUAUAUAAAACAAUUUAUACAAAAAAAGAGACCAUGAAGUUGAAUAAGAGCAAGGAGGGAUAUGAUGGAGAAUUUAAAAGAAUAAAAGGGAAGGCAGAGAAUUAUUUAAUCAUAUUAUAAUCUAAAUACCAUAAAUAAUUUCUAAAAUAGGACUAAUGGCAUAGAUCAGUGUUAGAGUACUGCUCAUCUUACAUGAGACACUAUGGAAAAUCCCCAACCAUUUCAAAAACACAAACUUAAAAGUAAAAGAAGAGUCUGUCUUUGUCUCUAUAGGUGACAAUUGGCAACUGAACAAUUUUGCCUUAAAGUUAUAGUUGGGCAAUUGGAAAAAUACAGGCAUAAAAUGUCUAUGCCAAGAGGAAGGUUGAAAAUUAUCCUGGACACCCAUAUGGACAGAGUGAUGGUGGAAACAGGGGUAUACAAUUGAAGUCAGGGAGGUAGAAUGAGGUUGAGUGUGAUAGGUGUUGGGGACCCCAGGUUAAGGAUUAUUGAUGAACAUUUGAAAAGCGGAAUGAUAAGUAUUAUGCAUGUAUAAGAAAUCUUAAAACAAAAUUAUUGUUGAUGAAGGGAUACAUGAUCAUAAAUGCUUUCUCUUCCAAAGUACUUUAACUGAGCUAAGCAUAAUGGAUGUAUGGCUUAUUUGCUCCUUGCUAGGAUUUGCUGAUCUAUCACAUCUAUGGAUCAAACUGAAGAAAGCUCCCUUUGAAAUGCCUUGAUUAAGGAUGAGCUUAUGUUUUGUGAAAUUUUCCUGGAAGGCUUCUUUGUCUAACAAAUAGGAAUCAUUUUAUACCAUGCGUUUGUCCAGUAGUAUUCAAGAUAGGAAUGACACAAGACAAGAUUAUCUGGAAAUGAUCAUCACAUAUUCAGAUGGUGCCCAAGUCAUUCUUUAAAUUUUCAUGCAGAUUGCUUCCAGUUUUUCCCUUCGUCUCUCUCUCCACCAUAAUCAUUCUCAUGAGUACCACUGCCAAACUUGAGUUCUCUCUCAAGCACACACAAAGAAGACGGGCGAAGAUGAAGAUGAAGAGGAGGAAAUUAAACUGGGAAAAACAUUAGAAUUGCUGCAUGUGAAUUCCACUCACAUCGGGAAGCCAAUGCAUUUAAAAGAUUAAAUGAAAAUGUCCCAUCUCCUGUUAUCACACUCUGCUGUCUUCACCGAUGUGUUCUGAGAAUGAGAGAUGUCAGCUUUUCAAUGUAUCACUGAGAUUCCUCUGGCUUAUAGUGCUCCUGUCCUUUCUAUUUUCUAGCACACUCCUGUGAUAAAGUGAGAAAUAAUAUUCCAAAAUGCCAGUAGCAUUCAAUAUAGGACACACUGCCCUCCACAAUUAGCAUCUUUUUUCUGAUAGGCUACUGUUUAAGAUGCAAUGAUUUAUGGACCCUAUAAAUAUAUAGACAGUUGCCUGAAUAAAAGAAAGAUAUGUAGGAAGCUGCCUCUGUGUACUAAUAAAUGCCAAAAGGUACACUAGGUUAAAGAAAUUAUGUAUGGAGGAUCCCGGCUAUAAAUUUCUGUUGCAUUUUCUGGGUAGAAUUGCUUCUGUGUCUGCAUAAACUGCUUAGCAAAAAAUAGGCGAGUAGCAUUAAAACUUUAGUUAACUCUAUUUCCUCAGGUCUAUAUAAUUUUAAACUUAUUUAGGACAAUAGCCCAUUUGUUUUAUAAAUCACAGUGUUCAUUGCAAUAUCUUUCAAGCUGAAAGCAUUAAAUCACAUUCUAUUACCAAGCCUGGAAGAAUGCAGCAUUACAGCGUGGCUGGCAGAACAUGUAUCAGUGUGAUAUUGAUCUAACCCUGUAAAAAGAAAAGCCACCCUGAGCAGACUCCAAACUGCUCACAGUGUUAUCUGCAUGCGGCAGGGACGGUUCAGAUCCCAUAUUUCUGGGUCAAGGAGGCUAUAUUUCUGUUAAAAACAAACAAACAAACAAAUUCAUGAAAUUUUGAGAUAAUUGUGAUCUUUGUUUUUAUCUUUAAGAUUAAGAACUAUGGUAUUUGAAGAGGGCCAGGAGGUUAAUUAUAUGACAUAUUAAUUAGUUUGCUUUCCUGCAAGGAAUGAGUUAAAAUGGACUAGAGCUGAAAAUCCACCACUUCUUAAGUAGUUUAUAGCUCAUUCCAACCUUGUUCUGAGAGGCUCUGCUGGAUCUCUUGACAAUGUCAGAAUGUCAGCACUAGGAAUAGAGAGUAUGUGCUUAGCAUAGGUGGUGUCUCUUGAGAUAACCACUAGGUAACCCGGGUCUCAACUAGACUGCACUGAGAUUAUGCUAGCUAGUGACUGAAUUCUCUUCCUGUUUCUCAAGAGUCAACUGGUAGAAAUAUCCUGUAAUUUUCAUGAGGCACAAAAAGAGCCCAUUAGGGGAUAGUCAGAUUAAUAUACGGUCGGCAUUCAGGCUCACUUAGUGUGGCAUAUUCAAAUAAUAGAAAAAGAAAGGCCCUGGGAAGAGAGCCAAAAGAACCAUUGGAAAAGAUGGAAAUGUUAUGCCAAAAUGUGUAGAGAUCUACAGGGAUAAUGAACAAAGGGAGUGGGAGAAGAUGGGAGAGAGCGAAAGGAGAAAGGUAAGGAGGGAGGGAGACAGGGAGAGAGGGAGGGAGGAAGGGAAGGAGGGAGGAAGUCUGCAAUGCUGAGGUAAAGGCGACAGAGAGCUAAGUUUGAACAUGGCUUCAUUCAGUUCCAUAAACAUGCAUAAAUGUAAGAGCAUCAUUUAUUAGACUCACCACUAGGGUGAGGUAAAAAUGAGGAAAGAAGUGAGAUGAACAGACCUUGCUUAUGGGCUGGAUGGAGGCACCUGGCCAGUUUCUAUGGUUCUCAUUAAGUAAGUAAAGGGGAAUCUACAAUAAGGCAUCUUCCUAUGCUAAAUUACAUUUUAAUCUAGGCUGCCUGUGCCUGUCCGUUUUAAGUUCAUUUAUGCUUGGAAUUGCUUUUAUUUGUUGGUUUCUUGUUUCUAAAUGGCAUUGUGUAGGCUUUUGGAUUUUUGUUUCAGUCAUCUCUCUAUAUACCUGUGUCUGAUAUUUUAGGCAGCAUGCACAUGCCACUCCAAACUUCCUGGUACAAGUAGAUUCCUCCUUUCUGGUCAGCUUGCCUCCUUUUCAAUCACUAAUAGAACCCAUGUCCUACUCCAUGGCACUGUGAUAUUCCUCUAAAAUGGUGGCUGCUAUCAUCACCUUGACUGACCAAGAGAGAUCCAGAAGGAAACAAUAGAUUUUCUCACAUUCCUCUUCCUCCCUAGUGUAACACUCUGCUUGGCUUUCUCUUGAUCCUAUGAAGAAUAAAUGCAAUAGCAUAUUUACAAAGGUGACCUAUGACAGGCGACCAACCUUAUGUCCCAAGAUGGUCCAAUCCUUCUAUAGGCAGCCAGCAAGUUAAGUCAAAAAGUCACAGUAAACGGUGGGUGGGCACAGAAAGAAGGAGCCAGCAUGCUAAUUAACUGUGAACCUGAGUCUCAUUUAGAAGAUGGAUAGCAAAAGUCUGGAACUCUCUCAGGUCUGGUUCAGACUCCUUUAAUUCCUCUCCUUUAUUGCAUCAUUCUCUAAACACAACUGCUUGACUGAGGCAGGGAAAGUCAGGGAGAUUCUGAACUAAGGAUUGCCUAAAACUGCCAGCCAAACUUUAGUUGACUCAUGGUUAUUAGUCAUGCUUUACUAAAAUCAUUCAAAAAAUGCAGGAAAUAAACAUCUUUAAGAGUAAAGAGGGCCACCAUUUGUUUCAAACUGAAAUUCACUGGCCUUUAUGUGGUAGUUAAUAUUCCUCGCUGAUUCUGAUUGUUACCAGUUAACUACAAGAUUGCUAUCAACAGGAAGCGAUGAGGAUGGGAGUUGUUCAUUAUAACAGGGAUCGUGUUGAAGUUACAUAGCAGUAGAAUUUGUUCUUGGUUUGAAUGACUUUUUGAUUUGCAUCCUUCUUUCUGUGCUAUAAUUCACAAAACUGACUUUGCUAUGUUUUGUGGGGUAUGGAACACUGCAAAUUCUUUCAACUGGAGCUCAGACACGUACCUCACUCUGUUAGUGUGGAGUUCAUUUGAAGCAGGGCUUUGAGAUAAUUCCUAUUUCUUAGGUUUGUAUUCUUUUCUCAGCUUCUAUCUCAAUGAUGAGGAUGCCACGUUACAGCAUGUUGCUACUUUAGUACAACAGGGACCCCAAAAUGAUAUGCACAUUUAAACAGCCUCAGCUCACAUUCAGGUUGCCAGGAGUUUCAUAAGGGAGGAAUAGAUGCUGUAGGUCACUGAAUUUGAACUUGAUCUGCUUGCAUUAUUGGGGUAAUAGUCAGCUGAGGGGAUAUAUAGCAUUCAUCAGUAAAGUGCCACCAAGAAAAAAUAACAUAUAGCACUUGCAUGUGUGGCUAAUGAGAGUUCAUAUCAGACACACCCAUAGCUGAAGACCAAUCACAUUUGAAAUUCUUUCAAGUUGCUUGGGGAUUGUUCUCUGCUCUAGUUCAAGAGAAGACAGCAACAUCACGUAGCCUUCUCUUUCUAAAGAUGUAUCAUGGAGAACAGGAAUUGUUCUACAUGGAAAGUCAACACCACCACCAACAAAAGAACCCCAGAGGCACAGAGUGAUAGAUAAAGCUAGAUCUGAAUGUUGAACGUAAGCCAAAUUACGCAACCUUGCCCGAUGGUAGUAAUAGUGAAGCUUCGACUCCUUGGACAUUUCAGUGUGCUGUCAGAGGAUAUAUUGACAGAGGUAUGGGACAGAGUUGUGAUGAAAGUGUUCCAGAGAAAAGUGCCAGAAAACCAUCUGCACAGGUGCAAUCCCUUCAUCUUAUGUAAAACUCGAAGAAUGAGAUGUCAUACAAACUUGAAAAGUGUGUGAACAGUUGAUACUUCACAGGAAAACUACUGCUCUGUGCUAUAGCUCAUGUGACUGAGAAAAGGCAAGCAUGUCCAAAGCACCUGUCAUGAUUUUAAUGAGAAAAUAGUUAUAUGUUAAUACUUCUAAAAUUUAUAUUAUAUAUACUAGUAAGUGUAGGGUUGUGGGUUGCAUGUUUCAUCAAAACAUUUUGAAAGUGGUGAGAUUAUGAUAAUUUUCUUGUUCAUUGUUAGGAAAAUGGUACAGUUUUGACUUGCAUUCAAUAUAUACACAGAUUAUAGUACUGUGCGGUGUCAUGUAUGUAUGCAUACAUGCAUGUAUGUAUGUACACACGUGUAUAUGUAUUAUGUGUUUAUAUAUGAAUACAUGUUUAUAUGUGUGUAUAUAUGUAUGGAAUGAAUGCACUGAUGGAUGGUUAAACAUACUGGCAUAUAAAUUGAUGUAAGUAAUAUACUAGGGUCUAUACUUUACCUCAUUAUAAUUAGGCUGUAAUAAAGUGACCUCUUAGUUCAUAUUCCUUACUUCUGCUUCACAAAGUUGAGAUAUAGGAGAAGUUCCAGCAGUUGGUACCUGGUAUAUGAAUAACUUUCUGUGUUGGUUUGAUUAGAGUGUUCCCCAUAGUCUCUGAUACUUAAAUGCUUAGUCAUCAGGGAGUUUCACUACUUGAAGUGGUGAGAAUAUGUGACCUUGUUGGGGGAAACCUGUCAUUGAGGAUGUUCUUUGAGGUUCCAAAGUUAAAGCCAGGCCAAAUGGCUUCCUCUCUUCCUGUCACCUGCAUAUCUAAUAAAGAAUUCUCAGCUGCUUCUCUAGCACCAUGUCUGUGUGCCAUGUUCCCCACCAUUAUGGCAACAGACUAAACCUCUGAAAUUGUAAAUGAGACCCAAUUAAAUGUUUUUAUAAGGGCUUCUGGGAUCAUAGUGUCUUUACACAUCAACACAACCCAAUUAAGACACCUUCUAAAAGCAAAUUCAUCACUGGAUUCCAAAAUAGUGACUACAGUAUUUUCUGCCCCAAGAUUCAUUUCACGCACUUAGUUUGCUUUGUUGUAGUCUUAGAGGGUCUAACACAGCGAAGAAUUACCAGCUUACUGUUGUUUUCCUUCUGGUACACAUUAAAUCUGCUGAAGCAACUGAAAAUUGUAGCCCUUUGUUCAGAAAUAUAUUUUGUUUAAUUGAACUGUGUAGCAAAAUUUAUAUGAAUUGAAGCCAUAAAAAGUAAACAUUUUUGGUGUUUGUGUUUAUUGAGAAUAUGUAUGUGUGUGUGCGUGCGUGUGCGCGCGUGUGUGUGUGUGUGUGUAUGUGUGUGUGUUUAUGUGUGUGGGUGGGUGGGUGUGUGUGUGUGUGCAUGUGAAUAUUUGGGCAUGUGUGUGUCCAUGUGCAUAUUUGUGUGUGUGUAUAUGUGUGAAUUCUUCUGUGUGCAUGUGUUGGUGUUGGACUUUAUAUCUUAAAUUUCUAAAGUUUAUUGCUUCUAAUGAUGUAGCAAGGUUGCAAUAUGAAUACUGAACAUAAAUGACUUAAAGUGCUUGCUAGCAUCUUACAAGAUAGAGCCCCUAGGUACACAUUCCUCUCAUUCUUGUUUGAAGCCCUAGGAUGGAGUCAUGCCUGAAAAGCUACAGAUCUAUACCUUUCUGCCAUGGGUCAUCCUUCUCCCAGUGGUACUAAUGGUGUUACUUCUUCUUCAUCCUGGGAAAAGAUGGCCUGCCUGCACUGUGUUCCUACCCUUAUGAUGUCUUCUCUUUGGUUGCAAAUGUCUAGAGCCCCAAAGCUAUUUCUUCUCUAUAUUGAACUGUUUGUGCUAUUGAAUCACAAGGCCUGCAAAACUAUGUAUAGGAUUAAGAGAGUGGUCUUUAACUAUGUGGAUAAAAGUUUAAAUUCUUAAAGUCGAACUAUCACUGUUUUAGAAUACACAGUGUAUUAAUAGAAAAAGCAAAUUCCCCUUGUAAUGAGAAGAAUAAAGGAAUGUGUUGCAUAAUGAACAUAUGACUCAAAGUCUGUGUUUCUUUAGAUGAGAAAUAAAUCUUACAACAUAGAGCAGAUUAAAAAGAAAUGACCCAAGUAUGUAUUGUGAUAAAAAUAUUCACUCAGGAGCCUUUCUGUUUAUCCUAUUCAAUAUCUUCCAGGCAUUUAUUAUCCACAGUCAACGCAGAAGCCACUAGCCAGUUCCUAAAUGCCAGGGCUUUAAAUGCCUGUCAAAAAUGAAUUGGUACCUUAUUUUUAUAAGGACACUUUGUAAUGCAAAAGGGCAAAAUGGCAUACUCUCUGAGGAAAUAUGUGGUUAGACUGCUAAGACAAUAUUUUUUUAAAGAUAGAUAACAUCUCCCUUCACAAAGAAAUUGAGUAACUGAAGUUUCCUCCAAGGUUCUCUCAGACAUUUAAUAAAGAGCCAGUUUAUCCCAGAGAAUAUGUGGCAGAUACCAGCUGCCUACUCAGGGAGGGGUGCAGCAAAACUAGGAAAAGCACCUGCUGACGGGGUUUCAUGAACCUGACUGUUCUCACUCCAGGAGAGCAUUCAGAAUCUGAGCACUUGCUUGGGCCAAUUCUGCUGUCAGUCACCAGUGUCAAUCGGAAAAGGAUACCCAAGGCUCGGGCCAGAUUUACAGAGCUGUUCAUGGUGUCCAUUGAAUCUUAGGUCCACCCCACAAAUAACCAUCACCACCCCCACUAACAACAACAGCAACGACUCAGUAACAACAAUAAAAGCAAACAAACAAAAACAAAUACAACUAGAAAGAUUCAUCCAGACCUUGGCACAGUACCCCGGGGGAAGAACGGGCCCUGCAUGGCCUUCUUGAAUAAGAGCUGAGCUGGAGAGGUAAAUUAAAGCACAAGGGAGCAGGAAAGCCUCCCACAAUGAGAGCAAGGGAAGGAAAGUGGCUUUAGAAAGGGGAGAAAUGAAACAAAAGCCAGGAAGCAGCAUUAACAACUUUUACUGGGUGUACAUAGUUUUUUCCAAAUGUCCAGUAGAAUUUCCAGAGAGCUAAGCCGAUUUCAGUAGAUGACCCCUGGUGAAGAGUGACAGUAGGGUAGAGUCUGUUAGUGGUAGUGGCUUCCACUAGUAGCAAUUAUGAAUUCAGUUGGAAAAUUUCCCCCACUCAGAAUUAGGCAAAAUCAGUAACUAAGUCCCUAUUUUAAAACUACUUACCACAAUGCCAAAAGACACAAGAUGGGAAUUUUCAAGGGCCCUAUCAUUUGCAUUUUCUCCUGCCAAGAAAGGGAGAAUGAAUGUGAUAAAUUACAUGGUGGAAGCCCUGAGUCCCUCUGGCCAUUGCUGGCCCUGUGUCUCAUGACAUCCUAGACGCUGGAAGCAAGAACUCAUCCUUUGAUUCUGUGCAGGUGUCUAUCCUGUUGCCUGUGAGUCAACAUUUCUGAAUGUGAGGUAAGCAGGCUACUAUGCAGCUAUCAAUCUACCAGAUUCCAAAAUUCCCAUAUGUUAAAUAAUAUGUUAAUUUUCUAGUUUUGUGAUUUGCAUCUUAGUUGCAGAGAUUAAAUUUCCUCCUCAUUAAUAUCACAUUAAUAUCAUGUUCUAAAUUAUGAAAAAAUGUAUCCAUUUUUGCAGGUUUUGCAGGUCACCUAUUAUGGGGAAAUUUGUUAUGCACAGACAUGCCUCUAAGCCUAGGUACUACGUUCUAUGUACUCUCAGGCAAGGGCAGAAGUGUCUGUCAUUGUCUUUGCCACUAAGAAUUUCUUGGGAAGUAAAACAUCAUCAAGCAAACAUUUUGGGGGGAAUUCUGGGUGUUUCCUAGAAGGAGGUGGUGGAGAAGCUAGACCUAGAAGGAAGGAAAAAAUGUUAUGCGCUUAUAAUAAUAUGUAUUGAGAUAUGUGAUAUAAAUACAUAAAAUAAAUGCAUCUUUUAUAUGAAGUGGACUGCAUUUUUGUAACUAUGGGUAGACUGUGUAUGUAGGGCAUUUUCAGUAGUUCAUUGAUCUUCCACAACAUUCCUGCCCUUAUUUAUAGCAAGUCUAAUAAUAGGUACCCUGAAGCCUUUGAUUUUAUAAUACCUGCAAACCACAAAAGAAUUUAUUUGAAUUUUUGAAGGUCUUAUCUCUGAUUUCCUUCAGUAAAGUUACCUUUGAUUUACGCCUUUGGAUAAUUCAGCCUGAUUUUUGAAGUAGGCUUCAGUUUAGAAUUGAGUUUUAGAAAGAAUUUAUAUCUCACCUCUUCAAGCCACAGAAAUUGAGUAUAAGUGAGAAAUCCUGAAAAUAUUCAGCUGAGCCUUUAUUAAUCUAUUGGCUUUUAAAAAACCAAAAUUAUAAGCAACAAUAUAAAAUAAAUAUUGAAAAAUUAAAAUACAAUUAGAUUUCUAGGAUGAAAGCUUAGCAGUAAGUAAUACUAAUAUAUGUUUGUGUUGACACACAUUUUUAAAGAAAUAUUUUAAGUGAGAAAGCAUUUUACUUAAAAUUCACUUCUCAUUAGGUAUGAUAAGUAUACUCUAUCUACAUUAAUGAAGUAAUUGAGAAAAGAGCCAAUAAAUUAAGGCUCAUCAUAAAAAUAAGGAUAGUGGUUUUAUUAUUUAAGAGACCAAAAUUAUUUCCUUCAUGUCAAUACCCAUCCUUGAGUUUAUUGGAUUUUCUGGAACAAUGGCAUUACAAUUCUACUUAUUACUUGAUUAUUUAAUCAUUACAAGAAGGUGAAUUUGGGAUGCUUUUCAUAUUAGUACAUGUUUAGUCACUAUGCUUAAAUAUCUCACACAAACAUGUUAAGAAAGUUUUAUUUUGGCCCAUGGUUUCAAAACUUCUAGUGUACAGUUUUGGCUCCUUUGAAUUACAUCCAAAGUGUGGUAGAAUAUCAGGAUAUUGGGAAAUUGUGCUUAGAAUAUGCCUUAUUUGGUAUACAGAAACUAGAGAGAGUAGAAGCAUGAAUCAGUUGCAAUCUUCACAAGUGCCCCUCUUCUUAUCUGCUUACACCCCAUGUUAUGAAGUUUUUACUCCUUUCAAAAUGAUACCCUCAAAGGGAUCCAAUUUCUAAUAUUAAGCCUCUGUUGACUACAUCAUUUCCUGGUCAAAGUAUGGUAUUCUGAGAACAGCUAUGAAUAUGUUGUCAGUGACAAGGAUAGGGAUUAUAACUGCCAUUUGCAUGAUAAUUUCUUUCCUACUUGUUAAAUUAAAUUACAUAUAUUCUGGACUAAAUAAAGAAAAAGAGAAGGCUAGCCAAUAUGUGCAUGCUGCAUUCUUCCCAGUGAGUGAUGUACUUUGCAGCCAUUGCCCAUGAAUAUUUGACCCCAGCUUCUUUAACGUUUCUAAAAGAACUCACAACAAAACUCUCUAGGAUGCUUCCUGGCCUCAUAUUAACUACGUAAUUGUUACUUCAUGUUGCAAGGCAUUUAGCCUAGACUGAUUAUUCACAAGGUUCUCAGUUCUCUAGCAUGCUCAUGGCCAUUGUGAGAGGAUCUAGCCUCCGGUAGCAGAAUUUAGUUUAUUAAGCCUUCUUUUAUAAUGGAAUGCACGCAUUGGUUUUGUUUUUCUAGAGAACUCUGUUUGACACAGGAUUUACUUAGUUCCCUCCCAUCUGACCAUGGACUUUAUUGGUUUUUCAGCUGUUGCUCCAGCUGGCCUGCAGACAGUCAGCACAACUUCGUGCUUAUGGAAGGAUCAGACCUUAUAUCUUGAUCCUUUAAGUCAUAUUUAUGAUGGGACAAUUUCUUUAACUCAUUUUCUCCUCUCUACUUCUAAUGGACAGCUAGUGAAUGAAUUUUUUAAAUGAAAAUGUCAUUCAGCCUCCCUGCUUCCAAGUUUGUAAUCUGUAUCCUCUUCUUAAUUUAGAAAGAAAUCACUAAAAGUUUUAAUCAUUCAUGAUAAAGUUCCAUUGUGUCUGUGUUUGCAUAUGUGUAAGAAGGUAUGCCCUUGCUUCAAGUGACACUGAAGUCAUCAUUUAAUUGAACAUUGAUCAUCAGGGCUGUGAGAAUAGCUCUUGCCAUCCAAGCAUGAGAAACCGAGUCUGUCUUAGAUAACAUGGAACACAAAAGCUGGUGUGUUCCUGUGUGCGUAUAAUAUCAUAUCUGAAUGAAGUGAUACACGUCUUUCCACUGAACAUGCUAGCUAACCAGCCUAACCUACAUGGCCAGUGAGAGAUCCUGUAUUAAAGAAGUAGAACAAAGGAAGGAUGCAUGGACAACUUGCUCUCUGGCCUGCUACACACACACACACACACACACACACACACACACACACACACACACACACACAAAGACAGAGAGAGAAAGAGAGAGAGAAGGGAGAGAGAGAGACAGAGGCGCACACACACAGACACACAGACAUACAAUUGUAUGUAUUUUCAUUGGAUGUAUUUGUGUUUUUCCCAUUAUUUACCAGCUCUUUUUUCUCUCACAUUCCUUUGAAUAUCAGUGACUGUAGAAUUAUAUCUCAAUAAUUAAGUCUUAGCUAUUAAAUAAGAACUGACUCAAAGGGAAUCUGUUCCUUGCUAGUGCUAUAACUUUAAGCAAAUCUGUGAUAUUUUGGCAGAAAUAAAUUUUCUAGGUGGAGGCCAAAAAUAUAUGUCACCACAGGAAAAAACCAACAACUCGAUUUUGUGCUUGACUGCAUGAAGACAAUAGAGGCAUUCAUGUUAGACAAACAUUUGGAGCAGUUUCUAGAGACUUCAACCCUUUGCUGUCUUGAUGAUGAUAUAUUUAUCCGAUUUUGUCUAUCAAAACUCUGUUCCUUUGAGUGCCUAUCAUUCAAACCUUGUAUAGCCUUUGACAAUCUAUUUUGGAUUAGGCUACAGGUUGUCAUCCGCAUCUUUUCUUCAGCUAUAGAAGUAUACCUACAUGUGCAUGCACACACGUGUGCACACACACACACACACCCUCAAUCAAACAGUCAAAUGACCUUUUAGUCAAAAUUGCAUGUCAUUUAAUUAUUUGCUAGACUCAUUAAUUGGCAACAGUCUUUGCAGAUCCUCAUUAGAAUUAACAAUAUUCUACUUUAAUUUAUAGAAUAUCUGUCAUUCUUUCUGCUCAGCUUGAAAGGGGCAUGCAUAUUUCAAAAUCACUUCUAAAUCAUGAGAUUUAGCAUUUUCCUCCGUGACAUCUAUUUUAACAUAUAAUUAAAAACAUGGCCUUUUGAUCUAUAAAAAUAUACUUUGGAAAGGAAUACAGCCAUCUUUAAGUUUUUAUAUCAUUCUUUCCCAUGGGCUAUUUUUAACCUAGGAAAGACUGAAAAGGUGGAAGAAUUUUCUAUAAUGUACCUGUUUGGCUUGAAAUGAAAGAGAGGUGGUUGGCAUGGCAUAAUGGCCUUCAAUGUCUCAGAUUCCAGGCUGCAUUCUCUUUCUUGUUCACAGCAUCAGUUUCAGGGGACUUUGAUAACUCUCAGGGCUUUAGUCAUCUCAUCUGUCAAAUGGGGAUGCUCAAGGCAACAUGCACUAUAGUACAUGUUUUAGAAUUAAGAAUUCUAACUUAUGCAGGGGAAUCUAACUGGAUUAUUUAUACCAUGCUGUGACGUGGGUCUUACUGAUGUAAAUUAUGGAUGAACUGUUAGGGAAGAGUUCUGCUGAUUCUUAGAUGAUCUACCAAUUCAUGCUUAGUCUUUGAGAGUCUUAUUCCUUCUGUGUGUACCACAAAUAGGAAGAAGGUAUUGUCAUUCUAGACACCAUUUGUUGUGCACAUUAAGGAAAAAAUCUUGCUUUAUUCAAAUUUUAAUCAUCUGCCCACACUGGUGCCUUCAUUGCCUCCAAGGGAUCUUUGUUCGGUGGAUCACAGUGGUUAUCUUAAUUCCUUAACAUCUCACAUACCUUCCAGGAUGAGGCCAGAGGAAGAUGGAGUGGUCCAUGGACUAGUUUGUGUUGGAGGACUACAAGGUCCUAACAACCUCACCAGGUAAUAGGCUUUUAAUAUUAUCCUAUUUCAUUCUCAGGGUAACUUAGGCAUAAACUUGGGAAGUCCACACAAAUGGAGAAGAUGAAAUUUAGACCUAAAUCUCACUCCAGAUCAUCCUAAUCGUGUGUCAAAAACCUGGUUGAAAAUGAACAAAUAUUAGACAUGAUUUUUUUAAGGUAAAAAUGCAUAUCAGAUAAGAUUCUCACAGUAGUUGUGUGAGAAUACUGGAAUUUGUAACUGUCUUAUGGAUUCUGAAUGGAGAUGCUGGAAAAAGCAGAACUGAAGUAGGAGGGGACAGGAUAUUCACUCAUUGUCACUGAGUCAUUUGUGACUUCAUUAAGCAUCCAAUAUCCCUAGAGGCACAAUGCGUUGGCUUUAACAAAAGACAAAUUUUAUCAUAGAGACUUGCUGUGCACCAGUCAAUGGAUACGUUAGUAAAUGGGGUAUCGAGUGUUGAGUGAAAGAAUUGUAGUCUUUUGUAAAGAUUAGAGGCAAAUGCUCAACUGCUCUACAGCAAAGUAAAAUACAGUAUGGUUGAAGAAAGUGGAGAUAAUAAGUAGGUUGAGCAGGUCCUCAGAUUAGUGAAAAAGGAGGGCUGUCUGGGUAACUCAUUAAUAUGACAUGUAAAGGUUAAAGAUGAGAGGUACAAUAAACCUGGAGGUUACAUGGACAUCAUAGAUUGGGAGCAGAAUGUUUAGAAGUCCUGGGUUAAAAACUACUUGGCUUCCUUGAGGAUCUAAAUAAUGUUCCUAGUCAUAGGAAUAAGAUUAGUGAGGUGCAGAGAAAAAAGGAGAUGUGGUCUGAAAUGAUGGUGUGUGUCUGUGUGUCUGUGUGUGUAUGUGUGUGCAUGCAUGUGUGCAUGUGUGCAUGUGUGUAUAUGUGUCUGUGUGUGUAUGUUUUUUUGUAUGUCUGUGUGUCUGUGUGUGCAUGCAUGUGUGUAUUUGUGUGUGUAUAUCUGUGUGUACAUAUGUAUAUGUGUGUGUCUGUGUGUGCAUGCAUGUGUGUGUCUGUGUGUGUAUAUCUGUGUGUACAUAUGUAUAUGUGUGUGUCUGUGUGUAUGUGUGCAUGUGUAUAUAGAUGUGUAUGUUUGUGCAUAUGUAUGUGUGUACGUGUAUGUUUAUAUGUGAGUGUCAGCUAUCAAUGAACAGAGAGAAAAUAAUUCAAAUAGUUCCAGUACUAUGUGAAUACUGCUCAUUCUCUAUAUACAUCUUUGGUUUUGGAUAACAAUAAUAUAUUUUUUCAUAAGACAGCAAGAUCAUGAUUGUGCCAGCUUGAGGCUGGAGAAAUAUCUAAGUGGUUAAAAGUGCACACUGGUUUGCUGAGGACCCACAUGUGAAUACUGACACUCAUGUUAGAUUUCACAGUCAUCUUUAACUCUGCUUCCAGAAAAUCUAACAACUUCUUGCCUUGACAAACACCCAAACACAUGCUAACACACAGGCAAAGACAUAUACAUAAUUAAAAGUAGAAGUAAAAUCUUUAAUAGAGAUGGGCCUGACAUUGUUAAGGUCUCAUUCCAAGUUCAUGCAAACCAAAUAACUUGUUGUUUGCGCCUCUUUCUCACUUCUGUUCCUGGGUGUGCUUGACUCUAAGUGCCUCAAAGUAACAUUCCUCAAAGAGAGGGUGACUAUCUUUAAGAUGUGCCCUACUUGAUGUUAUAGUGUGUUGUACAGUCCACUCUGUAAUGGGCAGUGCAGAUGUUGAUGCCUAGUUCAGACACAAAAGAAAGGGAGAUCAUAGACAGUGAUCCGGCAUCCUGCGGAAAGCAGAGUAAAAUACUGCUUUCUGAUUUCUAAGAGUAUUUCUCUAAUAAUGUUUUGAGGAAAUUAUUUAAAAAUCAUCACUAAUUGUAUGAACUUAGAAAUUUUUUGACUUAGCAGUUUGCUCUAUUUUGUAUUGAGACAGCUACUAUUUUUAUCUAUCCAAAAAAUAAAUUGAAUUAUUUAUAUUUAUGGCAACUGCUCUCUUGGGUAUAAUUAAUAUUUGUGAUCAUUUCAGGUUCAGAACUCUAGUCAGAACCCUUUGAUUGUUAUUAUUAGCAUAUCCCUGGUAUCUCCAGGUUCUCCCCUCCACUUGCUUCUUUCUCUUUCUCUCUCCUUCUCUCCCUCCCCUCUAUUCUCCCUUUCCUCCCCCUCUCCCUUUAUUUAUACUCUUAUUUGUCUAAGUGGCAGUUUCUACACAUGCAUUGCAAAAGUGCUUUGGGGACAGAUAUUUACAUAUAAUUAUCAUGAUGUAAAUGGUGCAAGAAAGAAAAAGGCACUUAAACAUCAGAGCUACAUAGCCAAGGAGGAAGAUGUCAUGUAGAUGUUAUAUAUAUAACUAAGAAUUUAAAGAAAUGCUUCAGACUAGAAAACCUAUAAGCUUGUGGAUAAACUAGGAAUCUUUCCCCCACAAGAAUCCUUAAUAAUUACCAAGUGAUUAUUAUUAUUAUUAUUAGAUACAUAUGACAGGUUUUACUUAGCUACUACAUAAGGUAUCUGCAGAGCAAAAGUACAUGAAGUUAAGAUAGUACCAUACAGCAGGGGCCAUUACAUGCCAAGAAGAAUAGUUCAGAUAUUUAUUUAACAAGUAGGGAGAAUUCAAUUAAAAAUCUAUGAAUAAUUUAAUGCCAGAAGGAAAUUUUUCUGAUCAAGCCUGUAAGACUGUCUACAAAUUACUAUAGAAAUAAAGUCCACUGUAAAGUGUCUCCCAAUUAAACAAAUAUAUAGUUUUUAUUUGUACUGAGCAACAAUUCGUCAACUCUGUAUUAAACAAUUUGGAGGUUUAUAAUUUGUUAAAUGGUUGCAUAUAUGUUUAGAGGAAAUAUAUGCCUCUGAACUUAUUCAUAAAAAAUAAAUCAACACAUUAUAAAAAUGUGAAGUCAUGCUUGUUAUAUAUGUAAAAUGGGUGUCUGGAUAGAACCAACACUGCAGGAAGUCAUAGUAAAAUGACCAACCUUUUUAUGUGAAGAAUGUAUUUCAGGUAUUUCAGGUUUGGGCUUGCUGCUCAGAUGUCUGCUUGGGUCAUUGUCAGAGAAAAAAUGACCUUCUUCAAUGUUCCUUGCUUGGGUAUCUUUUACUGCAUAACUAAUUAACCAAAGCCCAGUGGGGUAAAGCAAUGUUUUCUUUUGGUUAUGAAUCUGUGAAUUGUGAAUUCAAUGAGGGCCCAUAUAGCUCCCAGGCAAUUCCCUGUAAAUUAUGGUCAGACAUUGUCUGUACUAGAGUUAACUGAAAGAAUUGGUCACAUAUUUUCCAGUACUCACUCGCAGGGAUUGGCAUCUGAGAUAAGCUCUGGGCUAGGAAUUAGGCUGCAGCCAUAAACUAAACUAUCUGCCUGGGUCUCUUCAUUUUGUACUUGCAAAGCAAUCAGAAUUCUGAAUUUGGCCAACUAUUCCUGGAGAACCAGGGACAACAGAAUUUGCAAGGCCACCUGCAUUUUAAAAUGUCCCCAGGAUCUCUCUGUUCAUCUGCAGUCACAGUUUAUAUAGGUCCAUAAAAAAAGUACCAUGGAGCCUGUCUCCUUAUAAGGAGAUUGUUAACAAAGGAUGCUCAUUUUAAAAUGUGGGAUAUUUCUCAUAGAAUUUCAAAGCAUUACUUAUUGAGUAGACUUACUUUAAAUGUUAGAAGACAAAUUCAUGUGACAAAUUUCUCUAGUGCAAAUACCUUGAAAUCACAUUUCAUAUAGUUGUCUUUGAAUAUAUAAAUAUGUGUGUGUUUGUGCACAUGCAUGUGUGUGUAUACAUAAAUAUAUAUUUUAUGAAAGCAAAAGCAAUCGCAUGUAAUGGUCAUAAUAGUAAUUCCACAAGGCUAACAUAUAUGAAUAUUAAGUUGAUAAAACUAUUUUGAAGUUCUAGAGAUAAUGCCUUUUUGAUGUACAAUUCAUGUCCCUUAAAUAAAUCCUUGAAAAUGUAUACAAAUUAAUGUUUUAAAAAUCAAUAUGUAUAAAAUCCAUUUAAGUCUAACUGCUUUCAAAAUAUUUUUACCACUCUUCCUUCAUUAUCCCUGUGAUUGGUGGCAGGCAAUCCCGAUUUCCUCAUUCUUCCAGCUCCUAGCAACCACAAAUCAUGUCUUUAUUUUGCAGUCUGAAUUCUGGGCCUUCAACAGAAAGGGAUUAAUUCAAUGUACACCCUCUUUGUCUGCUCGCUUUGAUCCUUCACAGGUGUUAUAUGUAACUAUGAAUGUCAUCAUCAGUGCCUUCAUUAAGUCCUUUCCAUGACAGCACAAUCACUACUGAAACCAGAGAACGAACUUCUACCCCAUGCAUUUAGAACAUAAUAAGACAAUACACUCACCAGUGUUCUGCUUUUAAAACUUGAGUGGAAGAAUGAGGUGGAAGACACAUGUGGAAAGCCAGUCCCUCAGGUGGGCCUACUCCAUACACAAGAAGGCUUCAGGUGCUGAGUGGUUACUUUUCUGAAGUCUUAUCAAAUAGAUAGUGCAAAGUCCUAUGACAAAGACAAACUUUUAAGGAGAGAUCACUGAACUCUAAAGCCUAUAACUGAAUCAGAUUUGUGUAACCCAAUUGCAGCCGACUAACUCUCCCUCUUCCACUAACCUCAAGGAUAGGUUUAGCUCAAGCAACUGCAAGCUGACAUUUUGAGAGCUUAGAGAAUGGAUAUUUAGAUACUCAGGCAUACAGGUAGGAAGUCUGUGGUUUGGACUGUGGUUAAUAGACCAAAAGAAUAUAUGAACAACCAUAUGACCGCCAUAACAUUGUUCGUUCUGAACACAGUGGACAUAUUUUUGAACCUUUGGUUUUAAUCAUCAAGCAAGGAAAUUAAUCAUUAUAUAACCCCAUAGCAAGUGGUAUGCUCUUCACUCCUUGGUCACUCUUACCCUAGAAAUCUGAAUCCUAAGCUUUGGACUUGAUUUCUUUAAUUAAGAGACUUAGAUACAUUUAGCUCCAGUCCUGUAAGUUUACUGAGUCACUGAGAUAGAAUUCAUCAUUAAAUUUUGACAUACUCUCAGUCAAAGAAAGAGCUAUUUCUUUGUAUAUCAUUGGGCUCUGAUCAUUGUGUGGCAGGGUGUGUGUUUAAUAGAAGUACAGGAAAUUAAAGGUUGAGAUUUAAUCAUUAGAAAUUCCAUUUAUUUUUAUAGUAGCAUUCUGAUUUAGGUGAGAUUGGUAAGGGGAUAGAGAGAACAAGGCAGUUAGGUGUACUAGAGUAGAUUCCAUGAAAUAACUGAUUCAAUUCAUAAAUGUCAAGUCAAGAUGGGAAAAGGAUCCAGAGUCCAUCCCUGAGUGACACAAAACCACUGGUAUGACUAGCACUUGUGCGGUUGAUGCCUGUGAUGGUUGAUAUCAAAUACUAAUUUGAUCACCAAAGAAAAACAUCUUUGGGCAUAUCUCUGAGGAUUCUCUAGAUCAGGUUCAUUUACAGUGGAAGCCACAACUUCAGUGUGGGCAAUAACAUUUCAUGGGAUGGGACCUGUACUGAAUAAAAAGCAGAAAGAAAAAAACUAGCACCUGUAUUCACAGUUCUCUGAUUCAUAAUUUGAAUGCAAUGUGGACAGUCAGCUUCUAAUGCUACCUCACCUUAACUGCGAUGAUGGACUUUAUCCUCUAUCAACCAAAAUAAACCAUUAGGUUUUAUGUUUCUUUACUCAGCUAUUUAUUCUGUCAUAGCAAGGAGACAAGUUACUAAUACAAUGAAUAUUAUGUCAAUGGUAAUCUAUUAUUGUAUUAUAGGAAAAAACCUCCCUACUACAGCAAAUGGUGACUUAAAGGUAUUGUUAGCAACAAAUUCUUAAAGAUGUAUUUAAAAUUGGUAACUAAUAACAAAAUCAUUAAAAGGAAGAAAAUAGGAAUGUGGUGAUGUCAUUGUGUAGUUGGGGGCUUUCAAGGGUACAGCUUUUACGUGUGUGUGUGUGUGUGUGUGUGUGUGUGUGUGUGUGUGUGUGUGUAGUACUGAUGCUUCUAUUAAGGUAUUGGCUCACACAAAUUUGAGGUUUGGAACGUCAAAAAUCCAAAUCUUUCAGUAGACUGGACAUUGCAUUAUGAUUUCUAGUAUGAGGAAGAAUUCUCUUGUUUUGAAAUUCAUUGAUCAUGUAUAUAUAUAUAUAUAUGUAUAUAUAUAUACAUAUAUAUAUACAUAUAUAUAUAUACAUAUAUAUAUACUAAUUUAAUAUGCAGUCACAUAAUACAAGCCUUGCCAACAGGAAAUUAAGAUUAAUCAUCACAGAGGAAACAUGAGUUAAAUGAGUUCAGGCUUGAAGGUGUGGAUUGCAUGUUCUGAUGGAUUAGAAUUGUAGAAAUUCUCACUAGGCUUUGGGAGAUAAAAGCUGUUCAUAAGCAAUCACUGUUCCCUACUGUGUUCACCCAUUUUUAUUUAGAAACUUGCUUACUCUGAAAAAAUCCCCUCUCGCAUUUGCAUGGCCUAUUGUUAAGCGAGGGAGCAUUUGCUGGGCUUCCCAGUCCAGCUCGUUUCCAUCGCUCUGGUCCAGCAGAGCGUUGUAAAUGUCUACCAUAAAGGUUUGCUAGUUAUUGCCCUUAAUUUGUAUUGAGACGGAAGCAAAGAGAAGGAAAAAUACACACGCAGGAGUCUUGUAAUUAUGCUACAUGAAAUUAUUAGGCAAUCUAGAAAAUUGUUAGUGGGAAGCUGCCCAUCAUGCAUAAAAAGAAUUUUGAUUUCGACAUCCAGAGUUUAAUGUGAGAAUGAUUGUAGGGAGACCACACUGUUAAUUUUUCCUCUAAUUAUUUGAGCACAUUUGAAUUUGUUUUAAAGAAAGCGAUAGCUUGAGAAAGUUGAAUCACUGCAGUCAAGAUAAUCCUGGUUUGGCCGUGUGACAAAGUUCAUUUUCUAAGACGUGCUGUGACCAGUAAAACUAUGAGAGCAGCAAACGGCAUGUGUUCUUUGUUUCCCUUACCCCUCUAACUACAAGUUGUAAAUAACUGACAUAUUUCCUGGUAAACUGAAGAAUAUUAUGCUGUAGGCAUAUCUAGGUUUUUCAGAUAAUUUUGUCUGAAAUGCUGAAAAAUCUCUAAACUUCCAGUUCUCAUGACAAAAUUAUUCAUUCAAAUAUUUUUCAAUAUUGUGACAUGUAUUUUAGUAUAAAAAUUGUAGUAUGUUGCCAUUAUUAUUAUUAAUUUCUGGCAAAUUUUAAGCAAUAUAUAGUUAAUUUAAGUAAGUUACGUCUACAAGGGUUGAAAGCAUAUCGUUUUUGGGUAUUGAUGUAAUUAAUUUACACAUAUUUAUUUUUAAAAAUUCACUGGUUCAUGUCAGGAAUGAUUUUAAUCUCAGGCUUUUAAUGCAAACAGUCAAGAGAUUGUCAGAGGAGAAUCUCCAUACGUUGAGGCUUGCAAGUUCUACUGGGUAAGUUCCAGGAUAUCCAAGACUACAUAGAGAGACCAGUAUCUUAAAAACAAAAGCCAAAAAAGUGUUCUGUAAUAUUUUAGGGACUAUAAUUCAUACUCUUUGAGCAGUAGGAAAAAUUCUUAGUGAAUAUCUAAAAUGUGUGUGUGUGUGUGUGUGUGUGUGUGUGUGUGUGUGUGUGUGUGUCUGUGUGUGUGUGUGAAAGAGAGGGGGAGGUUUGGAAGGCCUGCCACAACUCACAUCACUCUAAGUUAAGUAAAAUUAUCACAGUCCUUUGCUCGCUGAUUAUAACAUGACAUUCUGGUUCACUCUUACAUGACAGUGGGCUUUCUAUGUCCAACUCAGUGAUUCUCUCCAAAUGGAUUGUUCUAUGAGAGCAAGACCUACCCACCCCCUCGGAGAGUGCCAACCUGAGAAGGUGGCAAAUAAAAAUUGUCCUUGUGCUUGUGUGAGGAGACUGUCCAAGCAUAGAGAGGGUGGAGGAGAAAUGUCAUAGCCAUCAGAAAGCAUAAAGUCACACUCCUUUGGACCUUUAGGUGGAGCCACCUGCUCUUGACCUUAUUUGGUCAGGCUCUUGGCAGUUUGGGAACUAUUUAACGCAACCUUGCUGAGUUACUCUUACUGGUCUCCACAGCCUCCUACAGUCAUUCUACUUGCAUUCUGCGUCCAUCUUGGCAACAUCAAUGUUUUCUAGGUGACUUCUGAUCCUUUUCUCCUGUGCUUUGCAUUUGGAACGAGGCCUACAUUGCAAAAGCAUUGAGAAAACUCAGAUGUCAUCCCACUCCUUUGACUCUGUUCGGUAGGUUCCAUGAUCCUUUGCACACCAAUUCUAUUCCAUACUAUUCACACAUAAAUCUAGAAAGUUGCACGUCAGUGAGAGGCCUUGAAGAUUCUUUAAAAACUAUCUAUAUACAGCCCUCAGCAUUCAAUUAUCAUUUCAUUCUCUAAAAAGGAAAAAAAUGAGGCAUAUUCUAACUCAGCAUUUAUGUCAAGAUCAAGGCUUUCCUGAAUUAAUCUGUGAAAUCAUUCAUUCUGUUUCUACAUCUUCACAAGAUCCAACCUAUGAAAAUUAUAUAUCCUUAUUGUCAUUCUGAUCUGUUUCUAAAAUUUUCUGAUGUUAGCACAAUGACUUUCUCUAGCUUUCUGAAAAUAGAAGAAAAGGAGGCUGAUAAUCCUCAGUUGGUAACAUGGUACCUAGUGUUAGAUCUGUCCAGUUGAGGGGUGUCCCUGGGAAGUGCUGGGAAGUUGAAAUCUAAGGAGUACGCAUUGGGAGAGGAUAAAGAAAAUGGUGUUCAGAAACCAAUGUGAUAAAAUGGGUUUGAUGGAAAACGUGUAACACCAAAAUGUGUGAGGGCAGGGAUCAGAUAGAAAACCAGUGCCAGUUGAGAUGGCUAGUUGAACUGAAUGGUGACAGGGUCUCCAAGUCUUUUUCCCUAGUAUUGGUUUUGUGCUACAGUUUUGCUAAUAGAACCAAAUGCUCAGUGGUUUUUAUAUGGCACGUUAUUUGAAACUUUCAGUGCCCAAAUUUAGGAAAACUGAGGCACAGAGAAUUGAAGUUAGUAGUCACAGACAUUGGGUGAUCUAGAUCCAAAUUAACAGAAGAGACCUAGACUUCCUGCUCCCUAUAGUUGAUUAGUCCUGUUGGGUGAUGGGGUACCAUUGGGUGAGGGGUGCCCGUCAGAUUUGCAUGAUUCAAUCAGAUUUAGUCUGACCUCUGAGAGAACCUAUGGGAAAGAGGUCAAAGAGGAUGCUGGCCCAGAGUGCUGCGAUACAGAGGAGCAACUGAGUGAUGAUGGUCUUUGAAGUGUAAGAGUGUUAUUUUGUGAAGGGAAAUUUCACUUUAACGAGAACACCUUGAAUUGAAGGCUUUGAAUUGGAGAGAAGGUUUUAAAUUGCUAUCAGAAUUUUUCAUUUUAGUGACGGAAACAUUCCGGAGCCAAGUGUGCCAUGCUGUAUCUUUCGUGCAGGCAAUGAUUUGUGGUAAAUAACUGCCAGCUCCUCCAGCGUAGGAACCCUGAAGUAUGGGUUCAGGAGAAACAGCAAUUCACUUCAUCUUAGGACGGGACUGAUCGUGGUUUUGAACAACAAGGUUUCAGAGAUCUUUUAAACCUAAUCAUCAUGACCUGUGAACUUGUGGGUUCAUUCUUCAAGGGAGAAAGAUUGAAUUGUGAGUGUGAAGCUGACUUCAUAGUCUAAAUAAGUGGACCCAAAAGCAAUAAGAAAAAAAAGUGUAUUAAAUUAUACAAGUGGAAAGAAGAAUGAACAUCUAUCCUUGCCUGGUUUACUGGGAACAUUAGUAUGUUGAUGAUGAUAGAAAGGUCAGCAUGUACAACACCCUUUAAUGCCUCUUUUAUUUUAUGUUAUGAAACAAUAUGGUAUACUUGUAUUGCAACUAAAUCAUAGAAUUUCACAAACAUUUGUUUGAGAGUGAUUGAGCUGGUUCUUCAAAAGGAGGGAUUAUUUUUUGAAUAAAUCAACUUUGUAAAACCAAAACAGAACUCCAAAAUGAAUUGUAACAGCAGACAUUGAACUGAUGUGGCUGUACAUCAAGAAAAUAACUGUUAUUUAAUAAGUGUAAAUAUUAAACUGCAAUCAAUUCUUUUCCCUGUUGAAGUUGUGCUGCCAAAUUUAAUGGAAUAAUCACUUUUUUACAACAGGAAAAUCGAUUAAUAUCAAUUACACCUGCAUUUCAAAAUACAAUCUCUAUAUAUUUUUACUUUAAGAAAAAAUUAGUGACUAAGAACUGGAAGAUAGUUUUUUUUGAAUGGCUGAAGCAGAGUAAGUGGUGCAGAAAUCGCUAAUCAUUCUUCAAUCUGCCAAUGGAUUGGUUGAAUUCAUUGGUCGAGCCAAUGAAUUUCUUCCUUAGAACAAGAAUUGAGAGCCACAAAUCACCUUCCCACAUUACAAAUAUUGAUGCAGAUGUUUAGAAAAACAAAAUUAUUUCCCAACUCAUGCAAGUUACUAAAUUCCUUUGGUUAAAUUAUUUCUACUUAACUUGGUUUUCCUUUGACAAAAUACUCAUGAGUACUCAAUAACUUUUAUUCAGUAGGCUAACUGCAUCUCCCUUCAUCACAUACCUUUACAUUUUCAAAGAGAUCUUUUAAUUUGAAGGAAUAGAUUUGUACGUAGUCAUAGAGUGAACAACCCAGUCUUUCAUAUAUAUGAUCCAAGGUUUUCCACUAUAUUCAUAUUGUUUCAUGUUUCCUUUUUUCCCCAUGUUUCCUUAAAGUCAUGUGAUUCAGCAUCUAUCUGAUGACUGUUUGCAUGCAUUUGACAGAAGGCAGUAAAACAGACUCUUAUAUGUGCAGUGAUGAGUUUUUUAGCCUAUGUGGCCCUUUUCAGAUGGCUUACUAAAGCAACUCCAGAGAAGUCACCAAGAACUCACUUCUUUCCUGUCCUUCAAAGUUUCCAAGUAAAUGGCUAAUAAAACCAUUCUUCAACACUGUCUCUCUGAAACAAUAUGUAAGCUUGUUUCUUGGUUGAAAUAUAAAGCCACAGUUUUUCAUGGCACCAUAUGGGUUUGUAGACUUGCUUUAUUAUCCAGGGUGACUUAGCCUUCUUUCCCAUCAGUCCUAGUUACAGAAGGGAUCCUGCCUUCCUGACUCUAUGACACAAUUGAAAUCAUUGAGUUAUAUCUCUUGAGGCAGGUAGAAAAGAACUCAAAUUAGGCAUGAUGUAUUUUCGUACUACCACUGUAAUUAUGAAGCACAUCAUUGAUACCUUGAUGCUCAUCAGUAUUUAUCUUAUAUUGUAUUCAUCUUCAAGGAAACACAGCACAAAGCAAAUUGGAUUUAGAAUUCACAGAACUGUAUUUAUUUAAUAUCUUCCUUUUCAUCUUUUGUUCUAAAGAUGUCAUUCCAUUUCAUAAAAUUUACCUAAGAAAUAUCUUUUAUUUUCAAACUGCAGCUUAGUUUACUUUAGUUCAAAUUCUGCAAUGUAUUACAGUGAGUCUGGAGAACAUUGGUUAAUUUUUGAUGAAGGUAAACAAAGAUUGCUAUAUGACAUCACAAUGGCUCUUAUGAAAAUAUUUCCUAAAGAAAUAUAUUUUUAUUCAUCAUAAACCUACACAAUGACAUUUUUAGCAGCACAGAUGCCCAAACCUGAAAACAACUGAAAUGCCCAAAAGGAAGUAAGUGGGUAAGCAGCUCUACCUGGAAAGGGGUUCUGUAAUUAGCAAACAUUAAUCUAUCUCAUCUGGGUAUAUUUCCAGCUAUCUUCAUAGAUAUUAUUAUUUGUGAAAGGUGCCAAAAACCAAAUAAACAAAUAAAGAAAAGGAAAAGCAAAACACAAAACCUUUUUAAUUUCCCAAGCAAAACCUGUAAGAAGCAAUUGUAAAUUGACUAGAGAUUUCAGUGAUUGGAAUAAGAGUGUGAAUGUAAAAUGGUCAGUGUAAAAGAACUCCCUGCAGAUUGGGGUUUAAUCUGUACCCAAUUUAUUUGUGGCUAUAAGAAUAUCUGCAUGCAUAAAACUCACAAAAAGUGAAUGUCAAAGCUGGAAAAUGACUCAGUAUUUGCACGACUUUUUAUAACAUGAGAUCAGAAUGUAAGCAAUCACAUGAAACAAAACAAAACAAACAAACAAACAAAAAACAAACAGGCACAACAGCAUAUGUUUAUAAUCCAAGUAGCAGUAAGGACAACAUCAGAUGUCCUAUGGAUUUCCUAGCCAUAAUAUCUAACCUGUUCAAAACCUUCAUAUUCACUGACACACCCUGUCUCAAAAAAUUAGGCAUAGAAUACUGGAGGAAGACAAUGAACAUCAAACACUGACCUUCACAAACAUAGACACUAGCAGCAGUAGCAGUUGCUACAAUAGCUGCAACAGCAAUAACAAGUUACAAGGUAAAUGAGUUUUUUUAAAUGGAAGUCAUAAAACUAAUAUUUGUGUUGCUAAAAUCUUUUCCUUGUACUAUGAUAAAAUACUCUGAAAAAAAAAAGCAAGUAUAAAAAACAGGUUUUAUGGUGGAUCACAGUUCAAAAAAGAGUCCCUUGUGGUAGAAAAGUCAUGGUGGCAAGAGCUUGAAGGACACAUUCACAUAACAUCAAUAAACAAGAACAAGCACCAAAUGAAUUCAUGCCACCCAUAACCGUUUCUCCGAGUCUGCAGUCUGCCAUCACAGAAAAUAUUUUCCCUACUCAUUUAAUGUAACUGAGGUCAUUUCCCACAUGCAUCUGGUAGCCCACCACCCAGGAUAUUGUGGAGUCUGUUUACUUGACAGUUAACUCCGAUCACACUCAUGGAUAAAACUAUAUAAUUCUCACAUAUUCAACUAAAAUAAAAGGUAACUCUUGCCAUUUUUAUCUACUGUCACCACCUGAUGUUCUGAACCCCAUGUUUCCAAGUCCUGCCAUGUGAAAUGGAUUAUGUGACAUAGUUCUCACCACUGGAGCAGUGUUAGCAGUUUAUGGGCUUCUAUGAGUGCUGAUGGGUGCCGUGGCAUGAGGGUUGUUUGUAUAAUAAUGUACAUAUUUUCAUGUUCUUCCUUCAGGAAAUACUCUCCCUGUUAAGGUUAAUGACUCCAUGAUAAUUAGAAACAGCAGAGUACAGGAGGCGAUCAUGUGUUCCUCAGAAAAAUGGUAAACACUGUGACCUCAAGAGAGCACUUAAGGCUGUGGGAAAGAACUCUGAAAACAUCAGUUCAAGAGUGUAUAAUUUCUGUACUAUGCAAAAUAUAAGGAUGAACUAUGUAUUAUGUGAGGCUUCAUAGACCUAAACAAAAACAAACAAACAAACAAAAAACAAACAAACAGAGGCAGCUACACCGCAAACCAGCUUGUCAGAAAAA